ACAAAAUGAGUGAAUUUGAUUGGUUAUUCCAUAUAUGGCGAUCAGCAUGCAAUAUACAAAAUGGCCAUCAUCGACAAGAAGUCAAAGUCCAUAAACACGCAUCAAAUAUGUUUGAUAUUUUUGAUUAUAUAAGGUGAUGGAAGGACAACAUUUUGAUGCUCACAAUGUUCUUGACAUCCUUGAUUGUGACAAUAGUGAUGCUGGUGAUUCAGAUAGCAGCAGUGACAAUGAAUGUUGUUAACAGAUACAGGGAGAAUACUCUGGCAGCAGUGAUGAUGAUGGUGAGUUCGAAAAUGUGAGUGGGGAAAUCGAUGAUAGUGAUGAUAAUGAUGAUAACAUGCCCCUAGCUUCAAGCGAACAAGUAAGCCGAGUUGGAGAAAAACUUCAUUUGUUGUGUCGGAAACUAGUGUAACAAUUACUAGUCCAAACGUUGAAGCCCCAGUGAACAUGGAAACAAAAACUCCUCUUCAAUAUUUUAAGCAAUUUGUGAGUGAUGAUAUGCUUCAAAAUUUGGUGACAAGCACCAAUGAAUACAGUGUCCAAAAGUCUGGAAACUCGAUAAACACUAAUAAAAAAGAGAUAGAACAACUCAUUGCGUCAAGCUUAUCUGAAGUGAUGUUAUUGCUUAAACCGUGCGACAUGCGAUUUGGAGAGAUGUCCAGGAAGCUGCUCUGCUAAGAAUUAGUUACCGUUCUCCGGAUAUAGACAUCUAUACAAAGUAUAUGACAUUAAAAGACAGUAGCUAUAAAUUCUUCCUUACUUUAAUGCUUGUUUUUCUUUAUGAUCAUUUUUUAAGUGGAAGCCUAGAGUGAAUUUUUCAAGCAUGGAUAUAACUAUAUUCAAAAAUACAUAUUCCAACAAGGAUAAA